CUACGGGUGGCUGCAGUGAGGAGUUUUGCGCAAUGGGGGAAACCCUGACGCAGCAACGCCGCGUGAGCGAAGAAGGCCUUCGGGUCGUAAAGCUCUGUCAAGUGGGAAAACGUUUUCCGGUCAAUAGCCGGGAGAUCUGAUGGUACCGCUGAAGGAAGCACCGGCUAACUCCGUGCCAGCAGCCGCGGUAAUACGGAGGGUGCAAGCGUUGUUCGAAAUUAUUGGGCGUAAAGAGCGUGUAGGCGGUUUGGUAAGUCAGAUGUGAAAGCCCCGGGCUCAACCCGGGAAGUGCAUUUGAAACUGCUUUACUUGAGUAUGGGAGAGGAGAGUGGAAUUCCUGGUGUAGAGGUGAAAUUCGUAGAUAUCAGGAGGAACAUCUGUGGCGAAGGCGACUCUCUGGACCAAUACUGACGCUGAGACGCGAAAGCGUGGGUAGCAAACAGGAUUAGAUACCCGGGUAGUC
rnacentral:rRNA from 1 species